CCUACGGGAGGCAGCAGUGAGGAAUAUUGGUCAAUGGCCGGAAGGCUGAACCAGCCAUGCCGCGUGAAGGUCAGUGCCCUAUGGGCGUUAAACUUCUUUUGUGCGGGAGCAAUAAUGGUCACGUGUGGCCAGACGAGAGUACCGUACGAAUAAGCAUCGGCUCACUCCGUGCCAGCAGCCGCGGUAAGACGGGGGAUGCAAGCGUUAUCCUGAUGCACGGGGUGUAAAGGGAGCGUAGACGGGCAUGCAAGACAGGGGGGAUAGCCCGGGGCCCAACCCCGGGACUGCCCUUGGAACUGCAUGGCUGGAGUGCGGGAGGGGCAGGCGGAAUGCCUGGUGUAGCGGUGAAAUGCGUAGAUAUCAGGAGGAACACCGGCGGCGAAGGCGGCCUGCUGGACCGCGACUGACGUUGAGGCUCGAAAGCGUGGGGAGCGAACAGGAUUAGAUACCCCAGUAGUC
rnacentral:rRNA from 1 species